UCGCGGCGUAGUCGAGGCCGCCGUACUUCUCCCAGUCCUCCUGGGACAGCGCGAGGCCGCCGAAGUAGCCGUUGCCGCUGUUCUGGCUCCACGCGCCGCCGG
rnacentral:tRNA from 1 species